rnacentral:lncRNA from 1 species
UUUUUUUUUCUGUAUAAAUUUAUUUUUUAUUGGUGUUCAAUAUUCAAUAUUUGUUUUUAUUGGUGUUCAAUUUGCCAACAUAUAGAAUAACACCCAGUGCUCAUCCCGUCAAAUGCCCCCCUCAGUGCCUGACACCCAGUCACCCCCACCCCCCACCCACCUCCCCUUCCACCACCCCUGGUUCGUUUCCCAGAGUUCGGAGUCUCUCAUGUUCUGUCUCCCUUUCUGAUAUUUCCCACUCAUUUUUUCUCCUUUCCCCUUUAUUCCCUUUCACUAUUUUUUAUAUUCCCCAAAUGAAUGAGACCAUGUAAUGUUUGUCCUUCUCUGAUUGACUUAUUUCACUCAGCAUAAUACCCUCCAGUUCCAUCCACGUUGAAGCAAAUGGGUAUGGUGGGUAUUUGUCAUUUCUAAUGGCUGAGGAAUAUUCCAUCGUAUACAUAGACCACAUCUUCUUUAUCCAUUCAUCUUUCGAUGGACACCGAGGCUCCUUCCACAGUGUGGCUAUUGUGGACAUUGCUGCUAUAAACAUCGGGGUGCAGGUGGGGACUGUGAGCUUCUUAAGAACAAGAACGGAAGUCUGGUUUCCCCUUGAAUUCCCAGUACCUAGCAUGUGAACUCGCACAGAGCAUUUUAUUAAAAACGAUUUGCUCAAUUAGUUGCUGUGCAUUGUGCCACCCGAUACCAUGUCUGUGUGGUGGACGAGGUGGUUCUACCCGCAACUGAACAUGUCGACACCCACGAAAAGCCCAGGGGCCCAGGAAAAUAAGGGUAUUUCUGGAAAGUCUCAGAGCACUACAGAAUGAAGAGGAAAAAGCUAAUUCACCACUUUUGAAACCGUUGCCAUAGAAACUGAGCACAACGCAGCAGGAAAAAAACAAAAAACAACAAGAAAAAAAACGCUGGCUUGUCAGAACACACAUCAUCUUUGAUUACCAGUAAUGGAAGCAGCACUUGCCUUGAGGGACUGAAAGGCCAGCCCGUGGUGGUCCGGGACUCCCAGGACCUUGUCCUCCACCGAGUGUCCGUGGUCCUCAGUGAGAAUCAGGGGCCCCUGCUGGGGUUUAUGACACUGGCUGAGAACCUCGAGGAGAACCGGCCGCCCUGCCUGCUGCACCUGCCGGCCUCUCGACAGGGCCUGGUUGGUUCAGCCAUGAGAAAUUCCUGUCACCAUCACUGGGUAUAAACAGUAGAGCAAACACAGAACACUGGGGAUUUCUAAAGUUUCCCCUUAGAGAAGAGCUGGCAACGGCUGUCAUCAACUAGUACCUGUCCUGCCCCCAGUGAAUUCACUAACAUCUUAGGAAUGAUUCAACAGAAGCCGAGAGACCAGUCCCCUGUGUGGGCCCACACCCCCUGAUCAUACCAAAUUCCCUUUCACCAAGUGGAGUUUCAAGGCCUUGGGGUGAAGGCUGGGAAAUCUGUUUGUUCAACUGUUCCUUCAUUCAUUGGCUGGACAAGCAUCUACCGCAUGCCAGGGAGACUGGCCGGAAGCCAGAGGUACAAGGAGAAAAACCACGUGCUGCUUACUUUGGAGGAAGAGAGAGAAAGAAAGGGAAAGAGAGAAGUAGGAGAGGGAGAGUGGGAGGAAGAGAGGGCAGAGAACAGAACUGACAAAUGAAAUUAAUUCAGACACAGCAUCGCUCCGUGGCCGUGAGCGUGUACACCGUGGAGUGAAGGGAGGCUGGGGCCACGGCAUCCCCAGCGUGCUUACCUCCCUACGUGGACCCUUUGGGAUCUUUUUGCUUUUCCUUUUUUUUUUUUUUUAAAGUAAGGAAAGGCUUCAUUUGAAUGUAUUCUUGCCUUAAGUGGAGGGUGACUACAGCAAUAAGGAAAAUGUGUGGAUCAUUUUUUAAAAAGGUUUUAUUUAUUUAUUCAUGAGAGACACACAGAGAGUGGCAGAGACACAGGCAGAGAGAGAAGCAGGCUCCAUGAGGGGAGCCCGACGUGGGACUUGAUCCUGGGACCCCGGGGUCACAACCUGAACCGAAGGCAGAUGCUCAACCACUGAGCCACCCAGGUGCCCCUGGAUCAUUUUUUAAUCUCCCUUCCUCUAUACCACAAAAUCAUUUUUGGUAGUCACUGUGGCAUGAGACAAAUGGCAGCAACAAAAGGCCGGGCACUCUCCACUGGGGGUGUCCAUCGGGACCUCCAGGGGAACGUUUUGAAAACACCAGCCUCCUCCCACCGACGGUGUUCCUGAUGAAUCUGCUGUGCCCCUCCUCCACAGCAGGAGGA